GACGUAGGGAGCGAGCGUUGUCCGGAUUCAUUGGGCGUAAAGCGCGCGUAGGCGGUUUGGUAAGUCGGAUGUGAAAUCCCGAGGCUCAACCUCGGGACUGCAUCCGAUACUGCCCGACUAGAGGUAGGUAGGGGAGAUCGGAAUUCCUGGUGUAGCGGUGAAAUGCGUAGAGAUCAGGAGGAACACCCGUGGCGAAGGCGGCUCUCUGGUCGGCCUCUGACGCUGAGACGCGAAAGCGUGGGGAGCGAACGGG
rnacentral:rRNA from 1 species